CGAGAGCGCGCGCUCUGGGACCCGAAAGAUGGUGAACUAUGCCCGGACAGGACGAAGCCAGAGGAAACUCUGGUGGAGGUCCGUAGCGGUUCUGACGUGCAAAUCGAUCGUCGGAUCUGGGUAUAGGGGCGAAAGACUAAUCGAACCGUCUAGUAGCUGGUUCCCUCCGAAGUUUCCCUCAGGAUAGCUGGCGCUCGGAGAGUCGGUCUCAUCCGGUAAAGCGAAUGAUUAGAGGCCUUGGGGCCGAAACGACCUCAACCUAUUCUCAAACUUUAAAUGGGUGAGAUGCCCGGCUUGCUUGACUGAAGCCCGGGCUGAGACGUGAGUGCCCAGUGGGCCACUUUUGGUAAGCAGAACUGGCGAUGCGGGAUGAACCGAACGCCGGGUUACGGCGCCCGAUGCGAGACGCUUAGCAGAACCCAUAAAAGGUGUUGGUUGCUAUAGACAGCAGGACGGUGGCCAUGGAAGUCGGAAUCCGCUAAGGAGUGUGUAACAACUCACCUGCCGAAGCAACUAGCCCUGAAAAUGGAUGGCGCUCCAGCGUCGAGCCCAUACCCGGCCCCCGCCGCAGCGAGCUUAGGCGGCGAG
rnacentral:rRNA from 1 species